rnacentral:tRNA from 1 species
GCAAAUAUAGUUUAACAAAAACAUUAGAUUGUGAAUCUAAUAAUAGGAGUUUAAACCUCCUUAUGUGCC